CGCGUGUAUGAAGAAGGCCUUUCGGGUUGUAAAGUACUUUCAGCGGGGAGGAAGGGAGUAAAGUUAAUACCUUUGCUCAUUGACGUUACCCGCAGAAGAAGCACCGGCUAACUCCGUGCCAGCAGCCGCGGUAAUACGGGGGGUGCAAGCGUUAAUCGGAAUUACUGGGCGUAAAGCGCACGCAGGCGGUUUGUUAAGUCAGAUGUGAAAUCCCCGGGCUCAACCUGGGAACUGCAUCUGAUACUGGCAAGCUUGAGUCUCGUAGAGGGGGGUAGAAUUCCAGGUGUAGCGGUGAAAUGCGUAGAGAUCUGGAGGAAUACCGGUGGCGAAGGCGGCCCCCUGGACGAAGACUGACGCUCAGGUGCGAAAGCGUGGGGAGCAAACAGGAUUAGAUACCCUGGUAGUCCACGCCGUAAACGAUGUCGACUUGGAGGUUGUGCCCUUGAGGCGUGGCUUCCGGAGCUAACGCGUUAAGUCGACCGCCUGGGGGUACGGCCGCAAGGUUAAAACUCAA
rnacentral:rRNA from 1 species